AGUGAACGCUGGCGGCGUGCUUAACACAUGCAAGUCGAACGAGUAAGUGCUGUAGCAAUACAGAUUACUGCUAGUGGCAGACGGGUGAGUAAUACAUGGGAAUCUUCCUUGAAGUCUGGAAUAACUGUUGGAAACGACAGCUAAUACCGGAUGAUACCUUAGGGUCAAAGAUUUAUCGCUUCGAGAUGAGCCCAUGCAAGAUUAGCUAGUUGGUAGGGUAAUGGCCUACCAAGGCGAUGAUCUUUAGCUGGUCUGAGAGGAUGAUCAGCCACACUGGAACUGAGAUACGGUCCAGACUCCUACGGGAGGCAGCAGUGGGGAAUAUUGGACAAUGGGCGAAAGCCUGAUCCAGCAAUGCCGCGUGAGUGAAGAAGGCCUUAGGUUGUAAAGCUCUUUAGUAAGGAAAUAAUGAUGGUACUUACAGAAAAGACACCGGCUAACUCCGUGCCAGCAGCCGCGGUAA
rnacentral:rRNA from 1 species